rnacentral:ncRNA from 13 species
UCAAACAGCAACAGUAAAGGUGCCAAGAAGGCUUAAUAGGGAAACUGGUGAAAGACCAGUACUGCCCCCGCAACUGUAAGUGUGGACGAACGAGUAUAACCACUGUGAAAAAAUCACGGGAAGGUUCUCAAGUAGAAUGAUACACAAGUCAGGAGACCUGUCUUUAUUGUGAAGUUUCUA